GUUACACAAAAGUCUAUUACAAUUGCUAGAUGUUACAAUGGAUUCAUUUUACUUACAAGGCCCCAGCCCUUUGGCUGGGGUUAAGUCAGAGCUGGUACUACAUCUUAGGUUCAGUCAGGUACAGGCAAAAGGACAGAGUUUUCUCCUCCAUCUGGUUUUAUUCAGUGUAAGUAGGCUGGCCUGUGAUGUCACUGCCAGAAGCACAUGUCUUCCUACACACUCCCCCUAGUGGUGCCCCCAAAGCAUUACACUAAAUAUGCUUUCUUUAUGAUGUAAAGUCAUUAAUUAAUAAAUACCAUUACAAACCACCCUUUGACUUAUGUCAUAAAACAAGCAUUUAUAAAACCAGUACAUUUUGAAUCUUCCCCAUUUUAACACUACCUGCCCUACAACAAAACCCACCUUUUGAAGAACGAUACCCAUUUACCCAUUAAUUAUUAUCCAUUAACAUUUUAUUGCUUAUAUAAAUGUUCACCAUUGAGCACAUGCAUUACCAGUUGGGAAAUAGGCACAUACCCACCCUUAUAAUAAUGAACAACUCAAACCAUGUUUUAUUAGAUUAACCAAUGAUAUUGUGUUCAUGUGAGGAUGUGUUUUGGAGCUUAAUAUAGUAUUAGACACCACAAACUCAUA